rnacentral:lncRNA from 10 species
GCAAAACUCCAUCUCAAAAAAAAAAAAAAAAGAAAAGAAAAGAAAAGAAAACUGGUAGUAUGUGUCACAAUUUGCAGAAAUUUUUCCUAUUGGUACAUAAAAUUAAGACACAUUUUACAAUCUAUGGCAUCUUGUAUUUGACAAAACGUGGUAAUUUGAGUAACAACUAUAUGCCAGUCACUUUAAAGUUUUGGAGCUUAUAAUUGUGACCAAGAUAGACUGAAUCCCUGUUAACGAGUUUAUACUCUACCAGGGAACAUAGACAAUAGCUACAGAUAAAUCAUGAUUAUUGUAAGAUUCUGUAAUAUUAGAGUGGGGUAGUCAGGAAAUUUUUUUUAAAGGAGCAUUUCGGACAUAUACAAAAAUAAAAUAGGGUAAUAUACCUGUCACUUAUCUUCAAUAUUUAUCCGUUCAUGGCUAAUCUCACUUCCACCUAUAUUCCUACCCAUUUACCCAUGCCAAAUUAUUACAAAGUUCAUCCCAGACAUUAUAUUUUAUCUGUAAAUCAGUAUGUCUUAAAAAGAUGACCACAGGAUCAUCACACACACACAUCAAAAUAAUCGGAAAAGGACUUCUGAUUCCAAAAGAUGGAAUAAACAUACUUUUCUCUAUUCUUUCUUCUAAACUCAUUUAAAAAACCCUGAACAUUAUAUAUAAAACAAACAAGAACACUUUGAAAGUUGGAAAAAAGAAGGCAGAAUUGCUAGAGACCUUGGGAAUCAAGGAAUAAAAUAGUGGUGAGUUCCCUGGAUUUUCUUACUGCCUUGUAUAUCCCAUACUUAAUACCAGUUACUGGAGAACCCAACAACCUGGAAUGGCUGUAUGUAGACAGAGGCUCAAGAAGAGCCCAUUCUCUGUAGCUAAAGGACCAGGAAAGUGCAACCAAAAGCAAUGACACAUUGUCUACAAGACAAACACAAAAAAGGAAAACUAACAGAAUUAGUUGCCAGCAGACCUGCCCUGAUAAAAUGGCUAAAGGAAGUUUUUUUUGUUUUUGUUUUUGUUUUUUUUAAACAGUGCAAAGGUCUUUUGUUGUUGUUGUUGUUACACACCUAUUAUGGCAUGAAUUAGUAGAGAACAGGUUCUGGCAGCUCAGGCUCCUUCCCAUUGGUUCUCAGAAAGUGUGCUUCUCUGAGAAGAACAGGCUGGCGCCUCAGUUAAGCCCAGGUACCUUUCUCUUUGGCUUCCUUUUUUUCUGGUCAUUUUCCUUCACACUUCUCAAGACGCUAUCUCAACCUUUAGAGUCCUUACUACACUCAGUAUGCACAUUAAUCUCUUGACAAGAGUAUUCCCCUUAAUUUGUUUACAACAAUGCCAAUAGCAUGGUGGGUAACAUUGUGGACUCCCAGUUUUGCCAUGGGAACAUUUGUGGGUAUUCCUUUUCAAACAGUUCCCAUACUGAUGUCUAUGGUAUGACUUUUCUUGUUAGAUUCGUGUGUAUGUGGC